rnacentral:rRNA from 1 species
AGAGUUUGAUCCUGGCUCAGAUUGAGCGCUGGCGGCAGGCCUAACACAUGCAAGUCGAGCGGAAACGACAACAUUGAAUCUUCGGAGGAUUUGUUGGGCGUCGAGCGGCGGACGGGUGAGUAAUGCCUAGGAAAUUGCCUUGAUGUGGGGGAUAACCAUUGGAAACGAUGGCUAAUACCGCAUAAUGCCUACGGGCCAAAGAGGGGGAUCUUCGGACCUCUCGCGUCAAGAUAUGCCUAGGUGGGAUUAGCUAGUUGGUGAGGUAAUGGCUCACCAAGGCGACGAUCCCUAGCUGGUCUGAGAGGAUGAUCAGCCACACUGGAACUGAGACACGGUCCAGACUCCUACGGGAGGCAGCAGUGGGGAAUAUUGCACAAUGGGCGAAAGCCUGAUGCAGCCAUGCCGCGUGUAUGAAGAAGGCCUUCGGGUUGUAAAGUACUUUCAGUUGUGAGGAAAGGUGUGUAGUUAAUAGCUGCGCAUCUUGACGUUAGCAACAGAAGAAGCACCGGCUAACUCCGUGCCAGCAGCCGCGGUAAUAC